rnacentral:rRNA from 1 species
UACAGGGGGGGCAAGCGUUGUUCGGAAUUACUGGGCGUAAAGGGCUCGUAGGCGGCCGGCUAAGUCCGACGUGAAAUCCCCAGGCUUAACCUGGGAACUGCGUCGGAUACUGGCGGGCUUGAAUCCGGGAGAGGGAUGCGGAAUUCCAGGUGUAGCGGUGAAAUGCGCAGAUAUCAGGAGGAACACCAAUGGCGAAGGCAGCUCGCUGGAACGGUACUGACGCUGAGGCGCGAAAGCGUGGGGAGCGAACAGG